rnacentral:misc_RNA from 1 species
ACCUUUCAAAUCAGGGUGCGGCGCGGCCGCCGAGGAGCGGAAACAAUCCUUGGGAGGUAUGCGGGGGCUUCGAGCCCCCCAUUUACGCACGCACGACUGCCAUCCUUACUUUACGAGCACCUUCUGUUCUCCCUCGGCGGGGCAACCUGCCGUUGGAACCGAAUAAACUCUUUUGCAUCUAGCAUUACCUGUUCCGAAACAAACAAUCGUUA